rnacentral:lncRNA from 1 species
CUACUUAAUGUAGAAUUUAGAUCUCUAAAAUAAAACAAAAUAUGGCAGACAUAUAUUCAUGCAUUUUAAGUGGAAGCUAAACUCUAUUUCUUAGAGAAAAAAAUAUAUAAAUUAUGCUGAGAGCAAAUCUAGGCAUGUCUUUCAAGAUUUGCCUGUUUGAAAAUGUUACAAUGAUCUUAAAACUGAAUGUUUUAUGUUAACUGCAAAUACAUUUUAAAUCCAGUCACUCUGAGUCAGACUAAAUGUUCUUCUCCUUAAGGAUGUAAAUUUCAUUCUUGGGAUUUUGUUAAGUAAUUAAUUUUGAUAUCAGUGUAUAUGCUUAGAAUCAAACAAUAUCUUGGAAAAAAGCGUAUUACAAAUUUAAAGAAUGACCAAAUAAAAUAAAAAUGAGAAAAAAAAGAAGAUUCAGUAUUAUAAUGGUGUGUGACUGCAUCCUUGUUAAUUUCAUGGAGGAGUAAUUUUUAUCAGUUUAUGAAAAAUAGACAUUUUAAUAUCUCAUACAGAAAAAAACAAAUCUACAAAGCAAAGUUCUUUGCUUUAAGAUGCAUGUUUAGAAAUUAAAAUCAUAAAAUAUUGAGCUAAGAGAAUAUUUAAUCUGAGUGUAAAACGCUCCUUUAAAGCCAGUGCACAGAAGGGUGAAGACGAGUCACAGACUAGAACGUAUUUGUAUGACUUUUUUGGAGUGGAGGUGGUAGUUGCGUUUUCUAAUUGGAUACGUAGUCAUUUUUACUUUAUCUUAUUUAUUCUCCUUCCAGAAUAGUACCAGGAAAUUAUGUUUUGGCUUCACUUCUGAAUCAACAAUGAUGGUCGCCAUCUGCAGAGGAUGAGGGAGAAGGAACAGUUUAGCAUGAGUAUCAGCAUUUCUGAGAGUUCAGUUUCUUUGAAAACCACAGAAGGGAAAAUGCAGUGGAGAACUUGUGAACAACUGGGUCAGGAAAAACUGCGGCUGCUUUUCAGGGCUCUGAUCUAGGAACCCCAGAUGCAAAGACAUGCUGGCGUCCUCUUGCUCAGCCAUUCACCAGGAAACAGGUGAGCCAGCUCACUUCAUCAACCUCCGUGUGCAAUGUAGCUCAACAAAUAACUGAUUGACAAUCCUUUAUAAAUAUUAACAUGGUGCAAAAGUAAUGGCAAAAACCACAAUUACUUUUGUAUUUGUGUACUAAUACUAUUGGCUGUGUUGUCACAUGUGUGCAUUUGGAUUUACUGAGGCACUGUUUCAGAGGGUAUUAUCUGGACUUGUUAUACAUUUUGACUCACUAAGAGUAAUAUUCCUAAUGUACUUGUUUUUUUUUUUUUUGGCAUAGAAACACUAUGUUGAGUCUUAUUUUAAUGUUUCAAGGUUUCAAAAUUUUUCAGUUUGCUAAGCAGGUAUGUGUAUAGAACUUCUCCUAGGGGGAAGAGGAAGACACGAUUGAAUGAGUUGAAGACAAGAGUUGAGCUAUUACGUGUGUCGUGCCUUUGCAAUAUGGAUAGAAUCUAUUACUUUUUUUUUUUUUUUAAACAAAACCCCAAA